rnacentral:lncRNA from 1 species
UUGGAAGCAAAUUGUGUAAAGAUCCUUGGUUGCGGAAUCUGUGCACGUGGUGGGAUUGUAUUGAGCACUACUCCUUGUAUGUUAACGUCUUUGGUCUAUUUUGUGUUUGAAAAAAUAAAGCAAAUUGUCAAGCGUGGGUGAAACAGAGAUGGAAGUGACCUUUCAUUGCUUCAAUCUUUACAAUUAUUACACAGAUCCCAAUUCCAGAUUUGUCUGCACUGAUUGGCGUGUUUGGAUCUUUACCUAAAGUUUAGCCCUU